rnacentral:lncRNA from 1 species
UUGCAGAAGGUGGAAUAUGGGGUUAUGAUUAAGGUGGGGGGAAAGCUUUCUGUUUCUAUAAUGCCUUAUACUACUCAGAGGGCUCUGCAAAUUAGGAUGUGAGAAUCUUUAAUAGAUGAAGAAGGGCCCCACGAGACAAGGGGAUUUGCCUAGAAAGUCUGGGAACUGAUGUCUUUCCCCUGGACCCAAAGUGAUGCAGGAUGCCAAACCCGUGUGGCCUGAGGUCUGAAGGUCCCCUCAGCAUCAAGCCCUGCCGGUGGGGCUCUGAGUGAGAUUCCUGGGUGGGAGGUGUGUGUGCGACUGGUCCUCAGCUCCAGCCAUUGAAAAGGCCCUUAGAGUCAUGCUUCACAUUUCCCGUUUCAUUGUGUUAGAUGCCACUCUUGUCUAUUGGUUAAAUUUAAUGACAGUGUUCUCAUGUGAAUGAAGCCUGGCGAUUCCCUUUUAGGACCUUCCUAGUCAUAUCCUUAAGGCAUCUGGAGGGAGAACAAGGUUUAAAAUCAUUCACUGAUGCUUAACUCCGUCCCAAUGGAUGAUGCCUGAGAAAUGAAUUCUUUGACAGUAUAAAAUGUUUUCAGGUUUUCCUCAGAAGGAGGGCGAUAUAUGCACCAAUGGAGCAUCUCAUUCGACUUGGGGGAUUUUAUGUGGAGGAAGGAGAUUGGUUGUGUUCCGUAUCUUCUGAAGACAGACAGGCAGGAGGAAAGAGGCUUCAGCUAUCACAGAAGAGUGAGAACUUCCUCCUUCCUACAUUGGGACAAAUAGCUCUUUAUCCAAAAGGAGGCAAAGGAAACUGUCACUAUUCAUGCUGAGGAAGAAGGUAAGGAGAAGCAGGAAGAUACAGUCAGCGAGACUAGAGCCCCAGCUGCAGAGUUUUUGUACAGGGUGCAGGUGAAUGAGAAGCACUGUGUCUCCCCAGCCCUGAAAUGGGAGGUUGAGGUUCUGGGCUGGGAGGUUGUUAUGUGUAGGGAAGGGUGCUACUUAAUUAUCAAACUAGGUAGGCAAUUGCCCCCUGGAAUGUGAAAAUUCAUGCCUAUUCAUCCUUUCACAUUGAAAUAAGAAUUUAUUUGGACCUGCUAUCUAUAAUUUACACUGUUUUAUAUGACAGAGGGAGGGGGAAAGCAGUUGAAAUCUAGGCCACCCUCCUUUCCCAUUAGAUGCUUGCAGUCUGCCCUUCACACUUUCCUAGAGGUCAAUGGACCAUCCAUGGUUUGUAGUU